rnacentral:rRNA from 1 species
GAGUUUGAUCCUGGCUCAGAUUGAACGCUGGCGGCAUGCCUAACACAUGCAAGUCGAACGGUAACGCAAGAAGCUUGCUUCUUGGCGACGAGUGGCGGACGGGUGAGUAACACUUAGGAAUCUGCCCAGUAGUGGGGGACAACUCGGGGAAACUCGAGCUAAUACCGCAUACGCACUACGGUGGAAAGCGGGGGCUCUUCGGACCUCGCGCUAUUGGAUGAGCCUAAGUCGGAUUAGCUUGUUGGUAGGGUAAAAGCCUACCAAGGCGACGAUCCGUAGCUGGUCUGAGAGGACGAUCAGCCACACUGGGACUGAGACACGGCCCAGACUCCUACGGGAGGCAGCAGUGGGGAAUAUUGGACAAUGGGCGCAAGCCUGAUCCAGCAAUGCCGCGUGUGUGAAGAAGGCCUGCGGGUUGUAAAGCACUUUCAGUAGAGAAGAAAAGCCUAGGGUUAAUACCCCUGAGUCUUGACGUAACCUACAGAAGAAGCACCGGCUAACUCCGUGCCAGCAGC